GUGCCACAGCCGCGGUAAUACCGGCAGCUCAAGUGAUGGCCGAUCUUAUUGGGCCUAAAGCGUCCGUAGCUGGCCUCGCAAGUCCGUCGGGAAAUCCAGUAGCUCAACUACUGGGCGUCCGGCGGAAACUACAAGGCUUGGGACCGGAAGGCUCGAGGGGUACGUCCGGGGUAGGAGUGAAAUCCCGUAAUCCCGGACGGACCACCGAUGGUGAAAGCACUCUGAGAAGACGGCUUCGACAGUGAGGGACGAAAGCUAGGGUCUCAAACCGGAUUAGAUACCCCAGUAGUCC
rnacentral:rRNA from 1 species